rnacentral:misc_RNA from 1 species
UUAAAGUUUCCUGAUGCUUGAGCCCUGUUGCAGAGAGAAAAUAAUUAGCCCUAUAUAACUUUCACCAAAAGCAAAUUAAUUAAUCAAGAAUAGCGCUAAUGCAAAAUGAACCAAUUGAUAACCGUCAAACACAAAAAAACAUGAGCAAUCCAAAUGUUAAGAUUAGAGGUUCUAAAAUGUUAUUAACCCUUAACCUCUUUUGUAUAUUUUAGAUGUAGGAUUUUGAUAAAACAGGCGAAUACGUGGAGAAUACAUGAUGGCAAUUUGAACGUGCAUAAUAAUGGACAGUGCAGAGUUAGCUCCAAUGCUAUAUUAGAAACCUAAUAA